rnacentral:rRNA from 1 species
UGGGGAAUAUUGGACAAUGGGGGCAACCCUGAUCCAGCAAUGCCGCGUGUGUGAAGAAGGUCUUCGGAUUGUAAAGCACUUUCGACGGGGACGAUGAUGACGGUACCCGUAGAAGAAGCCCCGGCUAACUUCGUGCCAGCAGCCGCGGUAAUACGAAGGGGGCUAGCGUUGCUCGGAAUGACUGGGCGUAAAGGGCGUGUAGGCGGUUUACACAGUCAGAUGUGAAAUCCCCGGGCUUAACCUGGGAGCUGCAUUUGAUACGUGUAGACUAGAGUGUGAGAGAGGGUUGUGGAAUUCCCAGUGUAGAGGUGAAAUUCGUAGAUAUUGGGAAGAACACCGGUGGCGAAGGCGGCAACCUGGCUCAUGACUGACGCUGAGGCGCGAAAGCGUGGGGAGCAAACAGGAUUAGAUACCCUGGUAGUCCACGCUGUAAACGAUGUGUGCUAGAUGUUGGGUAACUUUGUUAUUCAGUGUCGCAGUUAACGCGUUAAGCACACCGCCUGGGGAGUACGGGCCG